CGCUGAAGCUUGGUGCUUGCACUGGGUGGAUGAGUGGCGAACGGGUGAGUAAUACGUGAGUAACCUGCCCUUGACUCUGGGAUAAGCCUGGGAAACUGGGUCUAAUACUGGAUAUGACAUGUCACCGCAUGGUGGUGUGUGGAAAGGGUUUUACUGGUUUUGGAUGGGCUCACGGCCUAUCAGCUUGUUGGUGGGGUAAUGGCUCACCAAGGCGACGACGGGUAGCCGGCCUGAGAGGGUGACCGGCCACACUGGGACUGAGACACGGCCCAGACUCCUACGGGAGGCAGCAGUGGGGAAUAUUGCACAAUGGGCGGAAGCCUGAUGCAGCGACGCCGCGUGAGGGAUGACGGCCUUCGGGUUGUAAACCUCUUUCAGCACGGAAGAAGCGAAAGUGACGGUACGUGCAGAAGAAGCGCCGGCUAACUACGUGCCAGCAGCCGCGGUAAUACGUAGGGCGCAAGCGUUGUCCGGAAUUAUUGGGCGUAAAGAGCUCGUAGGCGGUUUGUCGCGUCUGCUGUGAAAGCCCGGGGCUUAACCCCGGGUGUGCAGUGGGUACGGGCAGACUUGAGUGCAGUAGGGGAGACUGGAAUUCCUGGUGUAGCGGUGAAAUGCGCAGAUAUCAGGAGGAACACCGAUGGCGAAGGCAGGUCUCUGGGCUGUUACUGACGCUGAGGAGCGAAAGCAUGGGGAGCG
rnacentral:rRNA from 1 species